ncrna:unclassified sequences Clostridium-PBP RNA
AAAAGGUGCUAUAGUAAUCAACGUUUAAGGACGACUGUCGUCCGUAGAAAACAGACAGGAGGAUAAUAUUAUG